AGUCUGUGAGCUGGGAGCCUGUUGGCAGGUCCCUCUUUUUAUUUUCGCUGAGAGCUUUCUUUUACUAAAUGCCACCAUCCUUACCUUUCAAGGUGUCUGCGUGCCUAAUUUUUCCUGGUUGUUAGACAAGAACCCGGAUUUUAGUUGAACUCUGGAGCAAAAAUCCUGCAUCAUUUGUAGGUGGGUGUCAUUGUGACUGGCUGCUACCUCCCCAUGAGUCUUCUAAAAUAAAACCUGCAAAUUCACAUCUUCCCCAUGCUUCCAGAGAAUGCAUAUUCUUCCUUUGAAAAAAGAAAACCAGCACUGUUCAUAAUAGCCAAGAUUUGGAAGCCACCUAAGUGUCCAUCAACAGAUGAAUGGAGAAACUGUGGUACAUAUACACAACGGAGUGCUAUUCAGCCAUAAAAAAGAAUGAUACUCUGUCAUCUGCAACAACAUGAAUGGAACUGGAGAUCAUUAUGUUGUUAAAUAAGCCAGACACAGAAAGACAAACAUCACAUAUUUUCACUUAUUUUGGGGAUAUAAAAGUCAAAACAAACUCAUGGAGAUAGAGAACAGAUAGACGGUUACCAGAGGCUAGGAGGAGGAGUGGUGGGGGGCAGUUAGUGAUGGUUAAUUGGUACAAAAAAAUGGUUAGAAAUAAUAAAUAAGACCUAGUAUUAGAUAGGACAACAGGAGGACUAUAGUCAAAAAUAAUUUAUUUGUACAUUUCAAAGUAACUAAAAGAGUGUAAUUGUAUUAUUUGUAGCACAUAGGAUAAAUGCUUGAGGUGACGGAUACCCCAUUUACCCUGAUGUGAUUAUUACACAUCGUAUGCCUGUACCAAAAGAUCUCAUGUACCUCAUAAAUACAUACACCUACUAUAUACCCACACAAAUUAAAAAUUAAAAAAAUUUAAAGAAAUUACAGUUUGUUGGUUUUGAAUAUUUGACCAAAUUUUUUACUAAGCACAGAUAGAUUGAAUAUAAUUUUAUUGUCCUUUUGACAUUAUGAUAAUGAAGGUAUCUACACAGAAGUCUGAGAUGAGAAAAAAAUGAUAUAAUAUCCACCUACUACAUAGUGGGUAGUUUAUAUACUAAAGUUAUUGUUAUGAGAAAGAAUGGCUUAGGAAUAUUAUUUAAAAUUAAUUAAGGGGUGUUAAAAAUAAAAUACCAAGUGUAAAAAUGACAAAGGCAAGAAGAAACAGUAUAUAAUGUGAGUAAAUCUUAAUCUUUCCAAGAGAGGAGACAGUACAUAAUGUCUAAAAUUGUUAAACCAUGAAAUAGAAAUAUAGUUAUUUUAUUCAUAAUUAAGGAGAUAACUACUAUAGCACGAAAUCGUGCCAAAAAUGGUUGCCUCUGGGAAAUGUGAUUAUAGAUAUUAUAAUAUUUUGGACUGUAAAAAUCUGCUUUUAAGACUGAGGAAAUACAAAUAGGACAAUAUUUAUUUGAAAUUUGUAUCCUCAGGGAGUGUAAAGAAAUUAAUGUAUCCACAAAAUAAUAAUAGCUGCUAUUUGAAAACAUAGUUUUCUUGAAAGUUAAAAUAGUAAUAGUCUUCUAAAAAUUUUGUUAGUUUUGGUUUUCUCUUUAAUCUGAGUUAUGUAGAAAAGUGCUUAUUUCAAAUUAGGUAGGCUUGUUUUAUUCCUUUUUCUGUCUUUUUUCUAUCAACUAGUGUUUUAUUGUGUUCAGAAAAUGCCAUGCAUUAAAAGACUACUUUUGAGAAUUUCUAGAGAUUUUCUUUGUUACUAAAGAGAUUUUUGUAAUUGUUACAUGGGAUUUUAAAAAGAAUGUAAAUUAUCCUUUUUGUCAAGUAUAAUGAUUUCUGAAACCUAGCUGUGUCAGAAU
rnacentral:lncRNA from 1 species